CAGGAAGGCAGACAGACAGUGAGUCAGACAGACAGGAAGACAGAGAGACAGACAGGAAGCCAGGCACAAAGCCAGACAGGAAACCAGGGAGACAGACAGGGAGACAAACAGAAUGACAGACAGACAGUGAGUCAGACAGACAGGAAGCCAGGCACAAAGCCAGACAGGAAACCAGAUAGAGAGACAGACACGGAGACAGACAGACAGACAGGGAGACAGACAGAAAGACGUUCAGACAACAGGAAACCAGAUAGAGAGACAGACACGGAGACAGACAGACAGACAGGGAGACAGACAGAAAGACGUUCAGACAACAGGUAAACAGAUAGGAAAGCAGACAGACAGCGAGACAGAUAGACAGGAAGCCAGGCAGACAGACAGGAAGCCAGACAUAAAGCCAGACAGAUAGCCAGGUAGGGAAACAGACAGAAAGACAGUCAGGACAGACAGACAGUGAGACAGACAGACAGGAAGACAGGGAGACAGACAGGAAGUCAGACAGGUAGACAGACUGUCUAGUUGUAGAGUAACUGUAUUUUCACUCUGCAGUAGAUCAGUGUGAAUAUGGA
ensembl:lncRNA